GAUGAACGCUGGCGGCGUGCCUAAUACAUGCAAGUCGAGCGAACAGACGAGGAGCUUGCUCCUCUGACGUUAGCGGCGGACGGGUGAGUAACACGUGGAUAACCUACCUAUAAGACUGGGAUAACUUCGGGAAACCGGAGCUAAUACCGGAUAAUAUAUUUAACCGCAUGGUUCAAUAGUGAAAGACGGUUUUGCUGUCACUUAUAGAUGGAUCCGCGCCGAAUUAGCUAGUUGGUAAGGUAACGGCUUACCAAGGCAACGAUGCGUAGCCGACCUGAGAGGGUGAUCGGCCACACUGGAACUGAGACACGGUCCAGACUCCUACGGGAGGCAGCAGUAGGGAAUCUUCCGCAAUGGGCGAAAGCUUGACGGAGCAACGCCGCGUGAGUGAUGAAGUUCUUCGGAUCGUAAAACUCUGUUAUUAGGGAAGAACAAAUGUGUAAGUAACUAUGCACGUCUUGACGGUACCUAAUCAGAAAGCCACGGCUAACUACGUG
rnacentral:rRNA from 1 species